UGGGGAAUUUUGGACAAUGGGGGCAACCCUGAUCCAGCAAUGCCGCGUGAGUGAAGAAGGCCUUCGGGUUGUAAAGCUCUUUUGUCAGGGAAGAAACGGUAGUAGCGAAUAACUAUUACUAAUGACGGUACCUGAAGAAUAAGCACCGGCUAACUACGUGCCAGCAGCCGCGGUAAUACGUAGGGUGCAAGCGUUAAUCGGAAUUACUGGGCGUAAAGCGUGCGCAGGCGGUUGUGUAAGUCAGAUGUGAAAUCCCCGGGCUCAACCUGGGAAUUGCAUUUGAGACUGCACGGCUAGAGUGUGUCAGAGGGGGGUAGAAUUCCACGUGUAGCAGUGAAAUGCGUAGAUAUGUGGAGGAAUACCGAUGGCGAAGGCAGCCCCCUGGGGAUAACACUGACGCUCAUGCACGAAAGCGUGGGGAGCAAACAGGAUUAGAUACCCGCGUAGUCCCUGAGCGGGCUGGCAAGGCGCAU
rnacentral:rRNA from 1 species